GAGGAAGAGGAGGCAGUCGAAACACGAGGAGAGGAAGGGAAUUGAAAAUGAAGCUAAACGAUGCCAAAUAGCUCAAGGAAGUCCCGGAAACUGACCAGAUUCUCUAGGUUUCUCUUUUCCAAAAUGUAAUCAAGCCAAUCUGCUCAGUGUCUGUCUCAGACAAGACAAGCUACAAAGACAAUGGAAACCAGGUCAGCUAGGUCCCUGUUUGGAGCAGGAAACAUAAUUCUUCCUGGAAGAAAUUUAGAUGAACUGAGACUUAAAAGAGACACUCUUCCACCAGUUGAGCUGCUGUCAGGCUGUGCAGUGUGCUCCAACUUCCCUGCUUCAGUGAGCUUGUAAGCCAUGCUGGGAUGGGCUGGGAUGAUGCAUCUCUCUGUGAGUCAUUUCUUUUCCUGUGAGUCAACUCCCAGCUCACAUUCCUGUUUGUACAGGGAAUACAAUUCAUUGCAUCACCAA